GGGAGGAUGGCCGAGUGGUUAAGGCGCUUGACUCAAGCGACUUCCUAUCCUUAGAUUAGGACCUAUUCAAGUGGAGAGAUCCGCGUGGGUUCGAGUCCCACUCCUCUCA
rnacentral:tRNA from 1 species